rnacentral:lncRNA from 1 species
GACACUUCAAGGCGAGUCUUGAUUUGCUCAGAAACAACACCAAAAGCAAGAAAACCAGCCCAAGCAAGUCCAGCACCAAGGCCAAAUCUCCUUGUUAAGGAAGAGGCAAUCCAAUCAGUAGAUUCUGCAGUUGUCGAUAGGCGGGCAGGUUUACUACUAGGCUUUUGCUGCUGCACAUUAGCUGCUGGGGCAGGUGAUGGAGGCUCUGAAGAAGUUGCACUUAGAUUUUGAGAUGGUGGUGGAGUUUGUGGUUGUGGAGGUUGAUUUGGUGGCUGAGGAGGAGGAGGGGUUUGUGAGGAUGAAGAGAAGUUAGUUCUGGUAAUUGGGUGAGACACAAAUGGUGGUGAUCCAAAG